GAGAGAGAGCUGCGUGGUUAUGACGGAAUGAUGCAAACAAGAUCCAAUUAGGAUGUUAUGAAAAAGUCAAGGCCUCUUACCUUGUACACUGGCGGUGUGCAUCGCAGGACGUUCGCAAUCUAGUAAGAGACUACUGUUCAUACAGGUUCAUCUUCUAUGAAACUGCAUGAUCUAAAUGUUGUGUUUUAUUCCCUCCUUCACAGAACCUAUCAGGUCCCAGUGCUGACAUCGGCAGGAACCCAGCGCUUAGAGACUCUCUAAAUCACUGCAGUUCCUAAUGGAGCCCCCACCUCCACCACCAGCCCCACCUCCAGCCUCCUGUCAUACCCUGCCAGCACCCAUCACUUCUCCCAAACAGCCUGCUUCUACUGGCUAUUAAUCACAUGUACUGAUAUAAAAGGAUUCAGCAAAACUACCACAUGACCUUAUCUUUUUUGGUCAGUCAAUCUGUCAUCACAUUUCAAAUUCAAACAAAGUCAUAAAUAUAUGCAUAGCACAUGAGAUCACACUGGCUUAUAUUACACGCCUGCCUACAUAGAAACUAGCUUUAGUAAGCACUUAAAGGAAAAGUAAUUCAGAGCUCAAAUUCACUUGUAUAGAGAAAUGCUUGCAGAGACAAAUGUUCUCAGAUACAAUCACACUAUUAAAUUUACAUUCAUCACAGCAUCAAAACAUAACAAGGCCCCGUGCUCACUCGUGAUAAAGUGUCAAAGUGACGUGGUCAC